rnacentral:rRNA from 1 species
UGGAUCCAGACUUUGAUUAUGGCUCAGGAUGAACGCUAGCUACAGGCUUAACACAUGCAAGUCGAGGGGAAACGACAUUGGAAGCUUGCUUCCGAUGGGCGUCGACCGGCGCACGGGUGAGUAACGCGUAUCCAACCUGCCCACCACUUGGGAAUAACCUUGCGAAAGUAAGACUAAUGCCCAAUGACGUUGAAAGAAGACGUCUGAUUUCAACUAAAGAUUCAUCGGUGAUGGAUGGGGAUGCGUCCGAUUAGCUUGUUGGCGGGGUAACGGCCCACCAAGGCGACGAUCGGUAGGGGUUCUGAGAGGAAGGUCCCCCACAUUGGAACUGAGACACGGCCCAAACUCCUACGGGAGGCAGCAGUGAGGAAUAUUGGUCAAUGGGCGAGAGCCUGAACCAGCCAAGUAGCGUGCAGGAUGACGGCCCUAUGGGUUGUAAACUGCUUUUAUAAGGGAAUAAAGUGGGGCUCGUGAGCUCCUUUGCAUGUACCUUAUGAAUAAGGACCGGCUAAUUCCGUGCCAGCAGCCGCGGUAAUACGGAAGGUCCGGGCGUUAUCCGGGUUUAUUGGGUUUAAAGGGAGCGUAGGCCGCAGGUUAAGCGUGUUGUGAAAUGUAGGGGCUCAACCUCUGCACUGCAGCGCGAACUGGCUUGCUUGAGUACGCACAACGUGGGCGGAAUUCGUGGUGUAGCGGUGAAAUGCUUAGAUAUCACGAAGAACUCCGAUUGCGAAGGCAGCUCACGGGAGCGCAACUGACGCUGAAGCUCGAAAGUGCGGGUAUCGAACAGGAUUAGAUACCCUGGUAGUCCGCACGGUAAACGAUGGAUGCCCGCUGUUGGCUUGAAUUAGUCAGCGGCCAAGCGAAAGCAUUAAGCAUCCCACCUGGGGAGUACGCCGGCAACGGUGCAACUCAAAUGAAUUGACGGA